CGCGUAGGCGGACCUUCAAGUCGGAUGUGAAAACUGGUGGCUUAACUGCCAGCCUGCAUUCGAUACUGUCGGUCUUGAGUACAGAAGGGGAAAGUGGAAUUCCAGGUGUAGCGGUGAAAUGCGUAGAUAUCUGGAAGAACACCAGUAGCGAAGGCGACUUUCAGGUCUGAUACUGACGCUAAAGCGCGAAGGCUAGGGUAGCAAACA
rnacentral:rRNA from 1 species